ACCGUACCCUCAUCACAGUGUCCUGAGAUCCAUAUCCUUAUGCAAAUAAUAAAUUAAUAUCCAUUUCCAUAUGUGAAUUUGGAAGAACUUACAAAGAUCCAUAUAAGUACUCAUAUUCAGGACAGGAACAUGCACAAGUAUCAACCUUAAAAUGCAGAAAAGCAUACAGAUGGAUAAUAUCCAAGCUAUUUUCAACUCUAGUUCUGUAUUUGUUCUUUAGACUAUAGAUUGAAGCUGGCAUAUAUCAUACAAUCCAGACGAAAGAUCAGAGCAAAUGCUACAAUGAGAGGUAUAAUUGUGAUUCAUAUGAAAACUUCGGACUCUUACACCGUCCUUGGGACUAGUAUUCGGAGAUUAACUAAGUUUAUGUGAUAACCAUUCCACUGUGACAGGACGACUUCAAAUAAACCAGUUCUAAUCUCCUCUUGCAAUGGAAAUAAUGCCAAUAGAGCGGAACACCACCUUGGUAUGGCCCUUCAUAGGGUUAUUUAACUUGUAUUUGCCAUGCAUAUCGUCUCUUUGGAGAUAUAGGUGUAAAUCCACAUCAAAAAUACACUUGGAUAUUGCAAUUUCACAAGCACCUUCCAGCAUCAUAUUCUCCUUCAGGUAUGUCUGAGAAUCUUCUCAGUUCUAAUAAGCUCACAAAAAGAAAAGAAGUGCCGCAACCUCCUUUGAUGGGAUGAGGAGUGGGAAGGCUCCUUUGGUAGUUUCCUUAAAACCCUCGUGCCUUGUUUUGAGGGUCCACAGACACAGAAUAUGUCACAUUUGAAGAAAUAUCUAUAAGAAAAUUCCUUUAUUAAAAGAUGAAAGUCUC
rnacentral:lncRNA from 1 species